rnacentral:sRNA from 1 species
AAGUUUCAGGCUGGUCCCACAAGGGCUCCACGGCACACGAAAGCGCGUUGGCUUAUUUUCAGGUCGGUUUCGUGUGCUGAAUUUUUUACGCAUUCAUCUACUGGUAACGCAUGAAUCCCAUCGUCAUUAAUCGGCUUCAGAAGAAGCUGGGCUACACUUUUCAA